AUUGAACGCUGGCGGCAUGCUUUACACAUGCAAGUCGAACGGCAGCGCGGGCUUCGGCCUGGCGGCGAGUGGCGAACGGGUGAGUAAUGCAUCGGAACGUGCCCAGUAGUGGGGGAUAGCCCGGCGAAAGCCGGAUUAAUACCGCAUACGACCUGAGGGUGAAAGCGGGGGACCGAAAGGCCUCGCGCUAUUGGAGCGGCCGAUGUCGGAUUAGCUAGUUGGUGGGGUAAAGGCUUACCAAGGCGACGAUCCGUAGCUGGUCUGAGAGGACGACCAGCCACACUGGGAGGGACACACGGCCGGGACACCUGGGGGGGGGAGGGGGGGGUAUUUUGGAACGAGGGGGGAAACCCUGACCCAGCCAUGCGGGGGGCGGGAAGAAGGCCUGCGGUUUGUAGACGGUUUUUGUUCGGGAGGAAAUACGCUGGGCUAAUCCCGGGGGGGGAGACGGGAACGGAAAGAAUAAGCCCCGGCUAACUACGUG
rnacentral:rRNA from 1 species